rnacentral:lncRNA from 1 species
ACAUAUCUGAUUUAAGAAAUACUACAUUUUCAGUAACUAAUGUGCCAUGACUACUAUUGCAUAUAUGAAAAUCUUACCGAUUUAUUACAGAUGUUUUUUCUUGCAUAGACCCAAUGUGAAAUGUUCCUCAUGAGGAAGAACCACCUGGACUUCAAAUCUCAGGCAUUAGCACUUGCCAUGGACAAGAUCAAACUUGAAGAUUAUAUUCUGAACCAGUUGGAGAAGCAGUAUGGUGGACAUUAUGGCCAGAAAGUAGAAGAGAGGCUGCUGAACUAUCUACAUAAGUUGGAGACUGUGUUACCAGGGGAUACCUACAUUGAUAAGAUACUGAAGAAAGAAAGUCCUGUCACAGAAGAGGAUAGGCUAUUGUUGGAAGUAAUUACUUCUGACUCCAUGACGAUGGCAACAACUCUAAAGAAAAUGCUGCACUGUGGUAAGAAACACCUUCCAAUUCACAACACAGAUAAUACUCAAACAUGAAGUCCACCGUAUAUUUUUGCUGUACCUUUGAAUUGGCAAUUUUAUUGAGUGAUGUAAAGUUAUAAAUGAAGAAAAUUAAACUCUCAGUGGGGGUCAUUCCAUUAUAUGAUGUGUCUCCGUAUGUAGAAAAAAAGGGACACCUGAUUUAUUACCUGCAUUAUUUCCCAUAUAGUCCCUAUUAAAAAAAAAUAAAGAGUGUUCCACGGCUUUAGAAUUGGACUUCGACAGUAUAAAAUUGUCAGACUCACAAUGGACGUUAAACUUACAUAACAUUACAAUCAAAGAUGGUGUCAUGGGACCAGAUAUAGCAUCUUUAAAAAAUAUAUAUAUAUUCUGUUCCUGUGGCACAGAUCGACUUAAUUUUUCGAGUGUGUAGGUCUGGUGGAAUACACACAAAGUGAAUGACAGGACCGUAGAGUACAUGCCCAAGUUGCAUAUAUGGAGCUGUUUCAAACAAGAUUAUGCCACCCUUGCUCAAAACACGUCGUACUUUUAGCAAAUCAUGUCAUUAAUCUAACAUUUUAUGAAAUUUGCUGUGACUGUGUGUGCCCUUAUAUGUUACACCGUGUUUGCAUAAAUGGCAACAGAAGAUUGAAUGCACAUUAAGCCAAUAUUGCAUUUUUUCAUAAAUGAUAGAACUACUUUAAUGGAAAAGUAUUGUGAGAUAACUUUUGUUGUGAAUUGUUUAAAUAAAAAUGACGUGACUUUUUCUGAUGAUAAUAGUCAAUUAUUCAAUAAAAAUGCACUGCCUUCUUGUUCCUAGAUGUUGCCUCCCACAGUCUAGACAAUAUUUCUGUUUCUGCAUCAU